rnacentral:rRNA from 1 species
AUGUGGGGCAAGCGUUGUUCGGAAUUACUGGGCAUAAAGGGUGCGUAGGUGGUUUGUUAAGUCAGGGGUGAAAUCCCGCGGCCCAACCGUGGAACUGCCUUUGAUACUGGCGAACUUGAGUGCGUGAGGGGUAGGGGGAACGAGUAGUGUAGCGGUGAAAUGCGUAGAUAUUGCUCGGAAGGCCAGAGCCGAAGGGGCCCUACUGGUGCGUAACUGACACUGGGGCACGAAAGCGUGGGGAGCAAACAGGAUUAGAUACCCUGGUAGUCCACGCCGUAAACUAUGAGCACUAGAUGGGUGUCGAGCUAUCGAUGCCUGUCGGAGACAAUUUGGUAAGUGCUCCGCCUGGGGAGUAUGGUCGCAAGGCUG